UUUCGAGAGUAAGCCUAGGCGUACCAUAUUUUUAUAGAAGGCAGAAGUUGAAUUACAAGACACUACGACUUGCUGCGAACAGCAAGUGUAGCAAGACUCCACACCCGAGCUAAUCAACAGAUUAGCCACCACAACAAUUACAAACACAACGCAAAGGGCCUGCCCUAAACCAAUCCUCUAGCCGCGUCACAACAAAUGCCGAACACCACUAAGAGCAACAACUUCAGCCGGGCUCUCUUUGCCAACGCGCUACCCACCCUUAAAUGCCUAGGAGGAGACGGCAAGUAGGUAGCGGGACUCGGCCGGACCUGAACAAAGCCAUCGUCUUGGGACACCGGCAGCAGCGUACAUAGCGCCCAUGAAGAUCACUCGGACCAGCAGCAAGCACCGGAGAACCACAUCACAGAACCGCCAAGCCAAGUCUCCGUCCACGAUGCUCUCAACAGAGUAACGACGUCAAGACGCCGCCAUCGCCGAUCCUACUACGGACCAAGGCUUUCGCCCGGAGACCACAACCCGAUCAAGAGGAGAAGAUGCCGACAGACUUCGGCGAUGCCUCCAAAGAAAAGAACGACACCCACAGGCGCCGUCGUCGCCAGCUCUAACCAAAGUUAAGCAGAAUUUUCAUCCAAACCAUCGCACACCUCCCACCCCUACCAUCGGAGCCAAACAGUCGAUGCGAGGCCACACCGCCGCUGCCACAGCACCUUGCCGUCAUGCUCCAGCUGUUGCAGGACACCGACCCCUCGCACGGCCAGGAGCACGCAGACCAACCUCCAGGUCCUACACGUAUGAAGAAGAAGCACCAGCACCACCACCACUCCAGCUUGGCCAGGAACCGCCGGCCACAGGCAGGGCUGGAGACGCCACUCCUGGCAGUCAGCAGCCAGCCGAGCCGCGGCUGCGCCCCAGGAGCACGCACGCGAGAGACCAUCGACCACCGCCUUCACGCGCCCGCUAACCGCAGCUCUCCCCGCCGCGAGACCCAGGAUCGAGCGCCCAGAUCCGGUCACGCAGCCACCAGCUCCCCAAGGCGCAGCCUUCCACCUCCACGCCGGCGACAGCAGGAGGCGCAUCGCGCGCCCCGGCCUCCGCAGCGUCUCCCGGCCGCCGCUCCAGGCCCAGGCCAAGAUCCGCCGCCGAGAUCCCUCCGCGCCACACCCUCCGACACCGCGCCGGCGCCCUGAGAAAGCUGCCGCCCCUCACCUCCAGACCGUGCUCUUCCUCUCCCAGUGCUCCCCGCCGUGCGCCGCCACUCCGGAGACAUCCACCGCGCCGCCCGCUUGACGAAGCUUCCCCGCGCGAAGAAGGCCCGUCGGGGCGCGCCACCCCCGCCCGCCGCCUUUGACGGCCGGGCGCCGCCACCACCGCCGGCACCGGCGGCGGCGGCGGCCAAGGAAUCGAGGAGUGGAGGGGUGCUUGGGGGCGGCUAGGGUUUCCUCCGGAGCCGCCCCGCGAGCGGCCCGGGAGGGAGAGGGGAACUGGAGGAGUGUAUGUGAGGACCUGACGCUGGCGCCAAGGACAUGCUAUCCGCCGUGCUGCCGGGGGCGCGGCCAUACACUGGAGCUGCAGCCUCAUGUCUGUUGUUUGGGCAUGGGGCUUUCAAGUGAGUAUGAAGUUUCUGCUCAGCCUUUGGUUCUUCGAUCGAUAUAUUUUCAUGUUGUUUUCCUGGGCCUUCCUGCUUGAUCUUGCAUGUUCCUCCUCUGUACAUCACUUAACUAAUCACAUCAGCCUAUGAAUAUUUACUUAGCUCAUUGGUAUUCAGUAAUAUGAAUGGGCCUGUUAUAUGGAUUACAAUUGCUACCAUCUGUCUGCAGUUUUUACAAGUAGAUAUGUGGAACAGUACUUGUAUUUGUGUUUCCUACCAUGUUUGGUGCCAUUCACUGAUCCCUUUGGUACUGAGAAAUUACCGGAACACUGUCAUCGAUGUGAAUUAGUUGAGCUAGAGAAAUUAGGCUCUUUCAGAUGUAGGUACUUAUGCUCAUGCAUCAAGUAAUCGAAUCAAGCAUGCUGUCAACAGUAGAGUGGUGCCGGUUCUUUGGCUGUACAAUUGUUAUUUCAUAAAUAAAUACUGAAGUUCAGUACUAGCUCCAAGGUGAGUAGUUGAAUUACUGAUAAUGGAGGUAAUUCAGUGGUGAGCAUGGAUUGGGGAGACGAAGAUUAUGGGAGGACAAGGAAGGAUGAUGAUUUGAAGGUAAAAAUAAUCGACAAUGCUAGUUGAUGUGCAUAAGGAUGCUAAAAGGAUAUUUAUACCCUGUUGCAAUGCACGCUGUGGAGCAUGGCGGCGUUGGCUACUUGGCUUCCUGGUUCUCGGCCUUCAUCGGGUGGCUAGACCACACCGCACAGAAGACGAGGGUGAUGUCGGUUAGGUGCCUGGGCAACGACGAUUAGAAUGGACAGGUCGAAGUCGCAGGUGCGUGACGGCUGGAGAGGGCCGCAAGGUCCAGAGAGGGGGUGCACAGCGGAUGUGUUCUACUUCCCAUUGAGAGGAUUCUGGCCAAAUCAGAUGAUGCAGGUUUUUCCAUUGAAGAGAGCAAAUUAUUCGAAAAAACUGCAAUAUGAGAGGCUUCGUUGGUACCUUCAGAAAGUUGCAUCCCAGUGUUGUGGGUUACACCUUCUGGCGUGAAAAUCAGCUCCAUAAAAAGAAAGGUGCAUCACUAUAUUGGUGGAUAAUUUAAUUACAUAAAUGAUGUAAUGGUGCAUUUGCUUUUAGAUUUCUGUUAACCUGGUACCAAAAAGGUAAGCAUGCAUGCUCGAAAAAUCUUAGCAUUUGGGAAUCUAGCUAUUCAGGCAUCCUUGAGUGAUACAUAUUUCUUUGUACAUUGAAAUACAGUUGGACAACAAGCACCUUAUGCCAGUUGUGUUUA